AGAAUCACUUCUGAAAUUAACAGAAAAGUAUGCGCGUUCCCAUUGCGGUCAGUGGGUUAAGAACUGGACAUAGUGGCUGUGAGGAUGUGGGCUCGAUCCCUGGUCUUGCUCAGUGGGUUAAAGAUCUAGUGUUGCAGCAAGUUGUGGCAUAGGUCACAGACAUGCCUGGGAUCUGGCAUUGCUGUGACUGUGGUGUAAGCCUGCAGCUGCAGCUCUGAUUCAACCCCUAGCCUGUGAACUUCCAUAUGCAGCAGCUGAGGCCAUAACGAGGAAAAAAAGUAUGAUGUGCUGCUACUAACACAGUCUUAGUCUCUGGGUGCUUACGUCAUGUGUACAUGCACGUGUAGGCAGUCUGAAUAUAAACAUACAUAAACUGCAGUGUGGUGUAUAUAUGUGUACGUCUGUCAAAAUUACUAUGACAAAGUCUUUCCUUGCAACUGAAGAUGAGGGCAAAAUAACGGGAGGAAAAAUUUAAUCCUCCCUGGCAGGCUGAGAUUAAUAAUGGGGCAGUAAGAAGAACAGGAAGACAUUUUCAAAAAAGCAGCAGGAAGCCUAAGCAGCCUAGACUCUGGCUGCUGCUGACUUAUCUUUUGUGUUCUUUUGUCCUUCAUCUACCUGCAAAACAGACUCCUACAACUUCCUUCCAGUGUUCAAGUCAGCCAGAGAACUCCAUGACGCCUUUUGACACAAUAGAAUUUUCUCCUCUUCCUUCUCAAUGGGGAUCACCAAUUGAGAAAACAAUUAUGAAUCCUAAGGUGAAAACAGAAUAUCCAUGCAGAGCUGGGCAUUUUUUUUUUAACCUCUGGGGAUUAUUGAUUUAUGCAGUAACUUUUGUCCUUAGUAAAUCUCAAUUUUCAAUGGCAUGCAAUUGUGUAGCUAGAAGCCAAACUCCUGGGGACUUUCUUCAAUUAAUACCUACUUUCUUGGGAAGUUGUCUUUCUCCAUAGGACUUCGACGUAGACAAAAUGAAAUUGAAAAAAGUAUGCCAAAAUGAUGGGCUGAUGUCAAGGUCUAACUUGCCUUAGAGUAGCUCACAAUUAGUUUUCUUUUAUUUUAAAUAAACACACACACUGGCUUUUAUUAUUUUGUUUGUUUGUUUAUUUUUUGCCAUGCCUGUGGCAUGUGGAGGUUCCUGAGCCAGAGAUCCAACCCAUGCCACAGCAGCACCCUAAGUUGUGACACCGCUGGAUCCUUAGCCUGCUGCACUGCCGAGGAAAUCCCACAAUUAAUUAGUGUUUAUUAAAAUUGGAAACCAAGUUUUUAUUAUGGUCGGUCACAUAAUACUCUAAAACAGUUUCUCAGUCUUGAUACAAUCAAUCUUCUGUGUUGGAUUAUUUUUUCCCAUGAGGAGCUGUCCUGAGAAUCUAGGGCAUUUAGGAGCGUUCCUAGGCUACACCUACUAAAUGCCAAUAGCGCCCCAGCUGCCAGUUGUGACAACCAAACACAAUCUCCAGAGACUGUCAGGUAUCUGCUGGGGGCAACCACUGCUAGAAAAUAUUGUGACCUCUCUUGCAAGUCACACAGAAAAUUCUGGGUCAUUACUGGCUGGAGAUCCUGUUAAUCUGAUCCAGAAUCCCUCAUUGGCAAGUUUUUUUUUUUAAAUACCAAGCCUCAGUGACCCCAUUUGUACAACACCUAAGUGAUCUUUCAUUCUUCUGGCUCAAUAGGCCUGCUUGUCUGUCUUCUGAUGCUGAAGUUCUGUGGGAUUAUAGGACAGUUCCUUCAGGACAACCACUAGCAGGGCUCUCACAAGCAGGGCUACAUGCUUUUAGAGUGACUCUAGACCAGCGUCCCUCUGCCUCUAGUCACCCAAAUCUGGCUCUCCUUUCCUCAGCCUCUAUCUCUAAAUCUGCUGAUUCUCCCAGUGAGUGAACAGGGAUCACCGGUAAUUCAGUAAACAGUAUAUUGCAUAUACUGAACUAUUGGUAUAUAGAGAAUUACUAGUAAAUAACGCUAGUUGCUGUGAUAAAUAAAACUUCAAAUUUCAGGGAUGUCUUAUUAAAAUUGAAGUUUGUUUUUCAUGCACAUCAUUGUCCAUUCACAUGUAUGUUUCUGGUUGGACACUUGCCAUGUGAUUCAGGGAACUAUAUCCAGUCUCUUGGGAUAGAUCAUGAUGGAAGAUAAUAUAAGAAAGGAAAUAUAUAUAUAUAUAUGUAUGACUGAGUCACUUUGCUGUACAGCAGAAAUUGGCACAACACUGUAAAUCAACUAUAUUCCAAUGAAAAAUUUUUUGCAAAUGAUGAAUGAGCAACAAGACCAUGGGGAAGGUAAGGUCCUAUCUCAACCAUCUCGGCUCCAAAGUGGCAUAUAAAGCCCUCAUUUCUAGAACUCAGUCACUGACCACACCUAACUGUAAGUCAGGUUUGGAAAUGGAGUUCAGCUGUGUAGCCAUUUGAAAAGGAAAACUGAUUUUGGUCAUAGGUUCUGCCAGAUGCAACUCUUCCAAUUCAUCUGGUCAUCCUGCUUGCUUCUGGCUUUGCCUUGUUCUUGGCUAGUCUGGAAACCAAAGUGGGCUCCCUUGAAGCUCUUCUCUUUGAUGUCCCAGAUUCCACUUGCUCCAGGGAGUAGCUUCUGUACUUGCUCAUUAGUUUUGGCUGGUCUAAACUGGAGUCAUUUCCAGGGUUCCCUUUCCCUCAUUGUCCCCAGACUGCAGAACAAAGUGAUGGCAGCUGGACAUGGUGGCUCUUGCCCCAUUUCGUGCUCAGCAGUGUGAGUUGGCCUCCCAGUGCCACCUGAUAACCUGCAUCCGUUGUGGUCUGUGGCUGGGAAUCCUUCCAUUGCUCUGGCAUCAUUCUUACAAAUGCAUUUUCCCACCUUCUUUCAUCUCCUUAAGCCCAAGUCCUCCUGGCCUUGGGUCUCUUGAUAGAUAAUAUCUCACCCUACUUUCCCUUCAAGCCAAAGAUUAUUAAAAGGAAUAUUUUAACCCACUCUUUACUUCAAAGCUUUGUUGAAGUUCUUCCACCCUUUCUUCUUUUAUUCUUUGUUGGAGAAAGAGGUGAUGCUUUUUUAUGAGACUGUACUUUAUAAAAUUGACAUAUCACUGACUAUCUGCUAGGACGACUUCCCUCAUUUGACCCUGCUCUCUCAGGCUUCCAAUUGUUCUUCCACAUAUGCUUGUGGUUUGAAUAAACAGGGAUGUGAGUGGCAAACUUCUAGAGUGAGAAAUAUACCUGGUUUCUCUUUUUACACCUGAUUUUUGCUGAAAUUCCUGGCAUUGCAGUCUCCUUCCAGGUUCACAAAAACUACGCUCUUUAGGAUCCCAGGACCUCGUAAAAGAUAUAUGACUUUUCAAAUCUAGAAACUUUUCCUCAGUUCAUGCACAUCUUCCUAUAGUAUUGGCUCUAUUGUCUAAUUCUCGUUUCUUGAAAUUCCUGUAUCUCUCAACUCUGCCAUCAUCCUGUCCUCAAGAUGAAGAUGCUUUUCCUCAUGUAUUUUUUUUUUUCCUGAUUUUGGACAUUUCCCAGAGUCUCAGUCUUUAGUUCUCCAUUUCUUUUAUUUUCUUUUCUUUUUGCUUUUAAAAUUUCCUUCUCAAAGAAUAUUUUUACAGCAAAAUAUCUAUGCCAAGGUCGUUCAGAUUUGGACUUGAGCUUCCUACAAGGGUCCAGCACCAUUUUUCACUGCUGAUAAUCUGCCUCCAUGGAAAAUAAGUGAAUCUAUAAUGAAUUAUAGAGCACUGCCUUCCAUUCUGACUUCUAUUCACCCUAGGACCCAACUUUAGAAUUUUAUACUUUACUAUUUUGUGAAGAAUAAUUUUAAUUUUAACUAUCAUCUGUUAAUAUACAAUUAUCAGGAAAUAAACAUUAGAAAAUCAAUAUUCACAUCUAAGGCCAUCAGCUAGGUAAAGCUAAGAUGUAUGCUUUCUUGUACAAAGUGGACAUUACAUGUGUUUAUUUUGGUAACGUUUUGCAUAUUGUUUGUAAACCUGUAUUUUGAGUUCAUAUUUUCCUUUUCCAUAGAUAAAAUUUAUAUCCUAUUUAGUGGCUUCAUAAUUUUCCGUAAUUUAAAUAACCAUUGCCUAAGGAAUACUGCAAUUCACAAAUAUGUAGACAAAUCCAUGCUCACAUUUUUAGUUUUUCUAUAGGAUACUUUCCUAGAAGCGAAAGUGAUGAUUCAAAGGGCUCGUAGAUAUUUAAUGAAUCUGAAUUGGAAAUCUGAGUCAGAAUUGCUCAGAGGUUGUCUCCUUGGCUUUGUGCACCAGCUGAGUAAGUAACCAAGAGGUUCCAAGCUCUGUACUCCUGUUUCUCCAGUCUCUCUCCUCCCUAAUCCAUUUUCCAUUCUGCUAGGUUAGACUUGCUUAAACCUUGUUUGCAUCUGUCAUCUCCCUGCUUAGAAACUUCUCAAAUAUACUCAGGCCUUAUGGCUAAAGCUAACUAGCCAUAGCCAUAAACUCUUUAGACUGUCAGUCAAGCCUGACCCUUUCCACGCAUGUGUUCACUUGGGCACACGCACACGCACACAUGCACACUCAGCCCUCUUUUCCAACCCCUUCUGUACCCUGCAGUCCUGAUUCCAUAUUUUUCCAUCCCACCCACCACCCUUUCAAAGAGCCACGAAGGCACCACAAGUGUCCUACUGCAAAAAUACUCUAUCCUAGGGGUACCUCCUCUUCAAACCUGAUCAGUCCUAUCUUUGCCACUGAUUUCCCACCUAUUUAAUCACAACGUAGCAUCAUCCUGGGAUUCAAAUAGACUCAGCUACUUCUAGAUGGGAUUGAAAUGAUUGUCACCUCUCACUCUCCUGAACAGAAUGCCGUGCACUCUAUAUUAUAGCCUAUAAAUGUAUCCCACGUUUAUUGAGCAUCUACUGUGCUCUAGCCACUGUAUUUGGUUCUGGGUAUACAAUGAUAACUAAAUCAGCUGUGAUCUCUAUCUUCAUCACAGGGACAAUCUUAGAGUUUGCUAAGUUUCUGCUUUCCUGUUCCUUCCCAUUUAAACCAAAAUAUUCUAAAUAUCUAUAUCUUCCCCAUAGGCUCACUUAGGGGCUAUUGUCACUCUACACCUUUCUCAAAGCUGUUUUCUGAUAAACUUAUUUCACAAACAGUGUGAGAACCCGGAAGGUUAAUGAAUAAGCACUACUCAAUCCAUGAAUGAUGAAAAGGAACUCUGCUUUAUCUGGCCUAUCCAGUGUAAUAAAUAAAACUGCAUUAUAUUCCAAAAAAAAAAAAAA
rnacentral:lncRNA from 1 species